GACGUAGGGGGGCGAGCGUUUGUCCGGAUUCAUUGGGCGUAAAGCGCGCGUAGGCGGCUGCGCAAGUCGGUUGUGAAAUUCCGGGGCUCAACCCCGGAACUGCGUCCGAUACUGCGUGGCUAGAGGUAGGUAGGGGAGAUCGGAAUUCCUGGUGUAGCGGUGAAAUGCGCAGAUAUCAGGAGGAACACCGGUGGCGAAGGCAGCUCGCUAGGACGGUACUGACGCUGAGACGCGAAAGCGUGGGGAGCGAACAGG
rnacentral:rRNA from 1 species